rnacentral:rRNA from 1 species
GACGAACGCUGGCGGCGUGCUUAACACAUGCAAGUCGAGCGAUGAAGCUCCUUCGGGAGUGAAUUAGCGGCGGACGGGUGAGUAACACGUGGGUAACCUGCCUCAUAGAGGGGAAUAGCCUUUCGAAAGGAAGAUUAAUACCGCAUAAGAUUGUAGUACCGCAUGGUACAGCAAUUAAAGGAGUAAUCCGCUAUGAGAUGGACCCGCGUCGCAUUAGCUAGUUGGUGAGGUAACGGCUCACCAAGGCGACGAUGCGUAGCCGACCUGAGAGGGUGAUCGGCCACAUUGGGACUGAGACACGGCCCAGACUCCUACGGGAGGCAGCAGUGGGGAAUAUUGCACAAUGGGGGAAACCCUGAUGCAGCAACGCCGCGUGAGUGAUGACGGCCUUCGGGUUGUAAAACUCUGUCUUUGGGGACGAUAAUGACGGUACCCAAGGAGGAAGCCACGGCUAACUACGUGCCAGCAGCCGCGGUAAUACGUAGGUGGCAAGCGUUGUCCGGAUUUACUGGGCGUAAAGGGAGCGUAGGUGGAUAUUUAAGUGGGAUGUGAAAUACUCGGGCUUAACCUGGGUGCUGCAUUCCAAACUGGAUAUCUAGAGUGCAGGAGAGGAAAGGAGAAUUCCUAGUGUAGCGGUGAAAUGCGUAGAGAUUAGGAAGAAUACCAGUGGCGAAGGCGCCUUUCUGGACUGUAACUGACACUGAGGCUCGAAAGCGUGGGGAGCAAACAGGAUUAGAUACCCUGGUAGUCCACGCCGUAAACGAUGAAUACUAGGUGUAGGGGUUGUCAUGACCUCUGUGCCGCCGCUAACGCAUUAAGUAUUCCGCCUGGGGAGUACGGUCGCAAGAUUAAAACUCAAAGGAAUUGACGGGGGCCCGCACAAGCAGCGGAGCAUGUGGUUUAAUUCGAAGCAACGCGAAGAACCUUACCUAGACUUGACAUCUCCUGAAUUACUCUGUAAUGGAGGAAGCCACUUCGGUGGCAGGAAGACAGGUGGUGCAUGGUUGUCGUCAGCUCGUGUCGUGAGAUGUUGGGUUAAGUCCCGCAACGAGCGCAACCCUUAUUGUUAGUUGCUACCAUUUAGUUGAGCACUCUAGCGAGACUGCCCGGGUUAACCGGGAGGAAGGUGGGGAUGACGUCAAAUCAUCAUGCCCCUUAUGUCUAGGGCUACACACGUGCUACAAUGGUCGGUACAAUGAGAUGCAACCUCGCGAGAGUGAGCAAAACUAUAAAACCGAUCUCAGUUCGGAUUGUAGGCUGAAACUCGCCUACAUGAAGCUGGAGUUGCUAGUAAUCGCGAAUCAGAAUGUCGCGGUGAAUACGUUCCCGGGCCUUGUACACACCGCCCGUCACACCAUGAGAGUUGGCAAUACCCAAAGUUCGUGAGCUAACGCGUAAGCGAGGCAGCGACCUAAGGUAGGGUCAGCGAUUGGGGUGAAGUCGUAACAAGGUAGCCGUAGGAGAACCUGCGGCUGGAUCACCUCCUUUCUAUGGAGAAAUCUAGCAAACAUGACGUUUGACUAGUACAAAGAUGCAAAGCAUCUAUAAAAAUUACAACUUGCUCAAAGGUUACUUAAUGAGUAUUGAUUCUGUUCAAUUUUGAAAGACUAGGUCUUUCAAGAGAUAUGGGGGUAUAGCUCAGUUGGGAGAGCACCUGCCUUGCACGCAGGGGGUCAAGAGUUCGAAUCUCUUUAUCUCCACCAUUAAGAUUUAAUUCUAAGUUAAAUCUUUAAAUGUUCUUUGAAAAUUGCACAUAGAUUAAUGUAUAUAAUACAACAAAGCCAAGAAUAAAUAUUCUUUGUGAAUGAUUAAUAUAAGCAGUUUUGUAUAUCAAAACUUAAAAAGGUCAAGCUACAAAGGGCGCAUGGUGAAUGCCUUGGCAUCAGGAGCCGAUGAAGGACGUGAUAAGCUGCGAUAAGCUUCGGGUAGGCGCACAUAGCCAGAGAUCCGGAGAUUUCCGAAUGGGGAAACCCGCAUGAGAAACCUCAUGCAUCGUAAAGUGAAUACAUAGCUUUAUGAAGGAACACCUAGGGAACUGAAACAUCUAAGUACCUAGAGGAAGAGAAAGAAAAAUCGAUUUUCUUAGUAGCGGCGAGCGAAAAGGAAAGAGCCCAAACCAGAGAUUUAUCUCUGGGGUUGCGGACAGAACAUAACGUGAAAUUAUGAUUAACCGAACACAACUGGAAAGUUGGACCGUAGGAGGUAAUAGUCCUGUAAGUAAAAGUCAUAAUGAUCAGUUCUGCACCAGAGUACCACGAGACACGUGAAACCUUGUGGGAAGCAGGGAGGACCACCUCCCAAGGCUAAAUACUACCUGAUGACCGAUAGUGAAGC